UCAUUUGAGGUAUGCACCCAAUUUGCCCACAUCUCUACAAUCUUGAGCUCUAUCAUGCUUUGUAGCAAUGAGGACCGGCUAAUUUGGAAGGCUAUUGGCAACGGCGACUUCACUACUGACUCGUUGUAUCAAUUUCUUAACUCCUCUAGGAGCGUCUAUAGGUUUGCUUCCACCUUGUGGAAUCUCUAUUUCUCUGAAGGUUUGAUAUUUCCUAUGGCUA
rnacentral:lncRNA from 1 species